GCCGGGCGUGGUGGCGGGCGCCUGUAAUCCCAGCUACUCGGGAGGCUGAGGCAGGAGAAUGGCCUGAACCCAGGAGGUGGAGCUUGCAGUGAGCCGAGAUCACGCCACUGCACUCCAGCCUGGGUGACAGAGCAAGACUCUGUCUCAA
rnacentral:SRP_RNA from 1 species